UGAUAGUUUGCAUCACCCAUAACAAACACGAGUCCUUUUGAAGAGGCUCUUUAACUUCUUCUUAUUCAUUCGUAAAUCCAAGGUUCAAUUGUACGAUCGUAAACUUGGAUUUCCGAAGGCUGGAACCAAAGUUUAAUUUCACGAUUAGCGCUUUCUAUGGAAUCAGAACCAUGGCAAACGUUUCUACCAAGGUCGAUACCAUAAUCACCGCGAAUAGUGCCAGGGGCAGAAUCCAGAGGGUUACUGGCGCCCAACAUUAAGCGACCAGUUUUCACGGCUUGUUUACCUUCCCAUAUCAUGGCACAUACAGGGCCUGAUGCCAUGAAACCAACGAGUUUCUCAUAAAAAGGCUUUCCUUUAUGUUCGGCAUAAUGUUCUUCCACAAGAUCACGACUAGGAACUAAAAAUUUUAGAGCACGUAGUUUGUAGCCCUUCAACUCAAAUUUUGAGAUGAUGUAUCCAAUCAGUCCUCGCUGAACUGCGUCCGGUUUCACAGCGAUAAAAGUUUGUUCUGUCGACAUAUCAAAAAUGCUUAUACUCGGUGAUAUGAGGUGGUUGAGUAGAUGGGAGCUGUCCCGUCUACUAUCCCAUAUAAAGGAUUACGGAGCAAGGACAAAUAACACUCACAAUAUGAUUGCAUAAACAAAGCGGAAACAGAUGUAAAUAAUAAAAAAUGAUAAGAAUCGUUAUAGUACACCUUCUUAUAUUUUUAGAGCACCAAGCCUCAGA